rnacentral:tRNA from 1 species
UUCCUGGUGGUCUUGUGGUUAGGACUCUGUGCUUUUGCUGCUGUGUCCCAGGUUCAAUUCCUGGUCUGGGAA